GAUGAACGCUGGCGGCGUGCUUAACACAUGCAAGUCGAACGGUGAAGCAGGAGCUUGCUCUUGAGGAUCAGUGGCGAACGGGUGAGUAACACGUGAGCAACCUGCCCCUGACUCUGGGAUAAGCGCUGGAAACGGCGUCUAAUACUGGAUAUGUGAUGUGACCGCAUGGUCUGCAUCUGGAAAGAAUUUCGGUUGGGGGUGGGCUCGCGGCCUAUCAGCUUGUUGGUGAGGUAAUGGCUCACCAAGGCGUCGACGGGUAGCCGGCCUGAGAGGGUGACGGGCCACACGGGGACUGAGACGCGGCCCAGACUCCUACGGGAGGCAGCAGUGGGGAAUAUUGCACAAUGGGCGGAAGCCUGAUGCGGCAACGCCGCGUGAGGGAUGACGGCCUUCGGGUUGUAAACCUCUUUUAGCAGGGAAGAAGCGAAAGUGACGGUACCUGCAGAAAAAGCACCGGCUAACUACGUGCCAGCCGCCGCCGUAA
rnacentral:rRNA from 1 species